rnacentral:rRNA from 1 species
UACGAAGGGUGCAAGCGUUACUCGGAAUUACUGGGCGUAAAGGGUGCGUAGGUGGUUGUUUAAGUCUGUUGUGAAAGCCCCGGGCUCAACCUGGGAAUGGCAAUGGAUACUGGACAGCUAGAGUGCGGUAGAGGGUAGUGGAAUUCCCGGUGUAGCAGUGAAAUGCGUAGAGAUCGGGAGGAACACCGAGUGGCGAAGGCGGCUACCUGGACCAGCACUGACACUGAAGCACGAAAGCGUGGGGAGCAAACAGG